AAACAUAUUUCGACUGCAUGCGGUCGAAAUUAAGUCAAAUCUGACUUAAUUAUUUCGACCGCACGCGGUCGAAAUAAUAAAGUUCAAAAGUUUAAUAUACUCCCCCAGCAUCAAUCGUGCAAUUCUCAACCCAAAAUAUACCUAAACCUAAUUUUAUACCAAAACUCCCACCCCCAACACACCCCUACCCCGCCGCCGACGCCCCAUCCCCACCACACCCCUCCCCGGCGCCGACGCCCCAUCCCCACCACUGCCUGUCCUCCGUCGCCGCCCUUGCUGUCUGCCGCCAUUAAAGGCUUGAAAGCAACCUCUGCUCUGAAAGCAACUUCAGCUAUCUGGAAUCAGCACAUUCAUAAGUAAGAAUAGAAAUAUGAGUUUGACUUAUUAGCUGUAGCACAGGUUAUGGUGUACGUUGAAGCCACAAAAUUUAAAACAAGAUAUCUGAAUCCAGGAGCCUGAAAUGAGGACACUGAAAGUUUAACUAACCCUGAAAAUGAUAUAAAUGUUUGGCUACUAGCAGUAGAAAGGUUCAACUCCAACAAACCUCUAAGGCUGACUACUUUUUUUUUUUUUGGCAGUAGCAGCUGAAAUUCCAUAUUGCAGAAGCAUUUUUUUUUUUUUUUCCAGAAGCAUAUUCAGAUUUUUGUAACAGCUUUUGGUUCAUGUUUUUAGACUGCAUAUUCAGAAAUGUGUUAAAGGCGAAAGCUAUUAUAAUUUAACUAAUAUAGAGUUGUUGAUUAUUUUCCAUCGUUCAUGUUGAUUGUAGCACAAUACUGCCUGCUAAUACAGAGUUGUUGAUUAUGGAGAAAAGAGUGAAAUAGACGCUCCAGAGGGGUCAGGAAGUACCUCAAGAUGAAGUCUUCAAGAUUACUCACACGAGGAGUCGAAGAACGCCGAUGGUACAGACCAAUGGAUUGAGCCAAGGUCUUAGCAAACCUAUACCGAGUAUCAACAACACAAGUUGGAAUAUUGUGCCAGUCAGCCAGCCGAGACGUCAAUGACCAAUGAGGUAAUUGAUCAGCAGUGGAUGGAGAAGGUUGCUCCCCCGACAAGGUACGAGACAAUUUAUGGGAUCCCUAAUCGAGCCUGUCGUCAAUUCCCGUCAUUCCUUCAAGGUGUAGGUGCUACUUCUGAGGGGGCAGUGGAUCCUAAGGAGUACCAAGAAAUGAAGCAGAAAGUUACUCAACUAACAUGUACACUUAGUGCCACGGAGGCAAGGAUGUUGGGUAUGCAGGCCCAAAUAGACAGCUUACUCAAUUCGGGGGCCUUUCUGAUUCCCCCGUGUCCCGGGGAUGCUCGUUGGUCACAGCCCAGUAGAAGACGUAGGUCACAGGCCAAUGUAAUUCAUGGUCUUGUUGAUGAGGAUAGUGGGGAGGAUUCGGAUCAUGUCUCUAACACCCAACGUUGACUUUUUUGAUUCGUAUACUUUUGGACUCUAAUAUUGCUAUGUUUUCUUGGAUAUGUAUAUGAUAUUUGAUUGUAGUUUAAUUCGAAUUAGAUGUACUUUUGAAGGUGAAUUUGAUUGUAGAAAGCAGUUUAUGGUUGUUUACUUUAUGGUGUUUUAAGUGUUUGAAUGUAGUUUUAAGGAUAUUUAGAAGUACUUUGAAUUUGAUAGUGAAUG